rnacentral:lncRNA from 1 species
CCGAGUGAGAUGGUUUGUCAUUAAUGACAUGUUAAUAUAUAGUGAAACUUAUUAGAACUGGAAUUUAGUAAAUGAUAUACAGUUUGAAUUUGAAUAAUGUUUAUACAGUAUUAGUAAGUCAUUCUCCUAAUUAUUCAUAAGUGAUGGAUUCCUGAAAUUUGAAACGAAUUAUUACAGAAUUUCAUUAUACAGUAAGUCUGAAAAUUCAGACUAUUUGGAGGUUUGGUCCAUCCAGAUUCCCAGCAUUAUUUUAUUUUUAAUUUAAAGAGUAAAGAAGAGAUGAACAGGAGGAAAAUUUUUUUUGAUUUAUUAACAAAUGCACAAUGAUUCAUUGAUAAAUGAAUCAUUGUGCAUUUGUUGAAUGAUUAUUUUUGUUCUAUUUCUAUGACUUCUGUUGCAGCUACUGCAUUGCUGAUUAUAAACCAUGUGAAGAUUUGGUGUGAAACUUACGUGUUUGGAGGCUGGUGGAUGGAGCUGAGUUGGAGCCAGUUGGUUCUGGUUGGAGUUGUGGCAGAGAGGAACCGCCAUCUUGGAGUUUUGUUUUUUUAUAGACUGGUGUUUAGUUUAAAAGUUGGAGUAAUAAUU